UGUUUUGUCUUUUCUCAUUUUAAGUAGGAACCAGUCCCUCGUGUGCUUCCUUGCCUCAGGGAUUUUUGCAGGAUGGAAGACAGAAGCCCCUGAGGAGUCUGCGGUUCUUCCUAUCUUUUUGUAAAUGCCUACAGCCGUUGAGAAAAUAACACGUCCUCCAGACUCUGAGAAAGAGGACGAAGCACUGGAUGACAGAGAGUCAGAGACAGAAGUUCUUCUUAAGGUGGUAGAGGGAAACAGGACGGCAGGCUGUGCUGAGAAGGCUUCUCAACCCUUUCUUGAACCAGUGUGUGGAUCCUGAGAUUUGCUCUGCUGCCUCCACUGCCAGAACCCAGAGCAGCUAACGUAUGUUUGGCGGAG
ensembl:lncRNA